rnacentral:lncRNA from 1 species
UUCAAAUGUCAAAGUUACACUUGGCCUGUUGAUGUCGACCACUUCUUUCACAGCGUCGCCGAAUUUCUCCCGGAGGACUCGCUCGAUUCCCAUUUUCAUGGUGGACGUGGAGCUGGGACAAGUCCCGCAAGCCCCUGGAAGACGAAACCAAGCACGAUCAGCCAGGAGAAAACAGCCAGGAACAAACGUUGGAGUUCCAGCGAGACGGUUCCAUCAGCGACCGAGACGACGGCCACAUUUCCACCAUCAGCUACCAGGUAUGGCCGCACCUCGUCCAGCACCUUGUCAACGUUCUCCGCGGUGAAAUCAUACGUCUCGGCGGAGUACAAGCCACUGCCCGCGGUGCUGCUCGUGUUGCU